CAAGCAGAAUGAGGCCCUGCUCACCUCUUUGCUGCUCCUCUUAAGCCUCUGGUCUGCCUAGAAAUAUGUAACAGGGUCAGUAUUGCUGACAGUAGACAUCAGUUCCUUGGUUCUUCAGAGCAGCUGUGUCACAGCCUGAUGCACUUCAGCUGGGAGACAACCUUAGAUUAGUUAAACACUGCACUCUUCCAAGGAGAUUUUGGUCUUUAUCUAGCAUUAAAUAGAUGUUCAGUAGCCAUUAAGGAAAUGCUGGUUUGCUCUUUAUGGGGGCUGUAGCCCAAAGGUAAGACAGAAGAGAACUCAACAGAAAGAUCAACCCCCUGAGCUCUGCUGCUCUUUGUUCUGUACAGGGGGGAGGUAAAUAAGUAAGUUCCCUAUGACCGAGGUUCCAGCUUUACCACCUGGCCGGGUUCUGGAAAAGAACCUUCUCCAUAAAGGAGAAGCCUGAACAGGGCAGUGCUGUAAACCUGCAGAGCUUUAGCAGGGGUACGGAGAAACCUAUUGGUGUACAGUUGUCUGUGACACUCACAUGUGGCAAAGAGGGGUUUGUGCUCUGAGAAUGAGCUGCUGUAAAGCUUCCUCUUUGCCAGCGGUGUUUCCCGUACUUUGUUGUGCUUGGGCCACUUGUGGAUGUUCUUCUAGGAAACCCAUGAAGCCAGGGCUGUGAAUGGAGUUUUCCUUUGCUACCCCCACCUCAUCCUGAUGAAAUCCAAGGAGAUUAAAGGUAAAUAUCAGCACUUGCAGCAUGUGAGGCUUCCUCUGAGCCCUGUUUACCCCUGCAGAGAGUUAGAGGUGGAGUGCAGAAGCCAACUCCUGCAGGCUGGGAGCUGCUGCUCAUUCCUAGCACAAAACCAGCCCACAGUCAGGCUCAGUUUGAAUAAAACAGAUCUAUUUCA